UACGUAGGGUGCAAGCGUUGUCCGGAAUUAUUGGGCGUAAAGAGCUCGUAGGCGGUUUGUUGCGUCGGCUGUGAAAUCCCCAGGCUCAACCUGGGAACUGCGUCCGAUACUGGAUGGCUUGAAUCCGGGAGAGGGAUGCAGAAUUCCAGGUGUAGCGGUGAAAUGCGUAGAUAUCUGGAGGAAUACCGGUGGCGAAGGCGGCUCACUGGACCGGUACUGACGCUGAUGCGCGAAAGCGUGGGGAGCGAACAGG
rnacentral:rRNA from 1 species